AGGUAGGGGGGAGGGAGAUGGAGCUACAAAACAUACAGUGGAUGGGAGAGAAUGUGAAAGGGAAAUUUGACGGGGAAUGAGUAGGAAGAAAGGACCGAGCAGAAUCAAAACUGGAGAGGAGAAGUGAGAUGUUCCAAGUUGUCUGAUGAGUAAGGACCUCCUGUUGGCUGAUAUGGGAGCGCCACCGAGUCUUGGAAGAGUUGUUCCUUGUGGAUCAAGUCCCAUCACCUCGUAGUCAAGCUGUAGUUAGUCCAUGUCACUGAAGAUUACGUGAUAAACCUGAAUCUGGUCGGAAACACACCAAACUCACUCUUUAGAAUGAUGUCUUGGUUCUGUCUCGCCUUCUUCGUCAAAAUGCUUCUCGUCACUUACUGGGCGCCCCUGGUGGUUCGCUGCCAGAAUGACACAGAGCCAAUCGUGUUGGAAGGGAAAUGUCUGGUGGUGUGCGAUUCCACACCCUCUGCCGAGCCAUCGGGAAAUGCCCUAGGAAUGUCUGUGAGGUCGGGAACUGGCCGGGUGGCCUUCUCGGCCAUUCGCAACACCAACCACGAACCCUCCGAAAUGAGCAACCGCACCAUGACCAUCUACUUUGACCAGAUAUUGGUAAAUAUCGGCAGCCAUUUUGAUCCUGCCAGGAGCAUAUUUGUGGCUCCCAGAAAGGGGGUCUACAGUUUCAGCUUCCAUGUGGUCAAAGUUUACAACAGGCAGACUAUCCAAGUGAGUUUGGUUCUCAACGGCUGGCCUGUGAUCUCGGCUUUCGCCGGCGACCAGGAUGUGACCAGGGAAGCUGCCACCAAUGCCGGCCUGGUGAUGAUGGAGAGGGGUGACAAGACGUACCUCAAACUGGAGAGGGGGAACCUGAUGGGAGGGUGGAAAUAUUCUACGUUCUCUGGCUUUCUGGUGUUCCCUUUGUAAGAGUGCAGAGGUUCGUGGAGAGACCUUGAGUGCUUAGGGCGCUCAGGGGCCAAUGGUUCAACUGAACUUGCACCAAAUAAUGUUGAAUUUAUUUUCCUUUUUUUUUUGCACUUUCAAUGACUAACUUAAUGUCCACGCUUGCUCACCCCAUUGAUAUUUUCCUAAAUGCAUGAGGUACACUAUUCUCUCUGUCUUUAGCUAGCUAUGGCUAAUCUGUCUCUAAUGACUUAGCUAUAGGUAAUCAAUAAAACCAUUAUUAUUACUUAUCUCUAUUUUAAGCUAUCUUUGCCACCUAGAAAAUUUAAAGGCCUACUGAAACCCACUUCUACCGACCACGCAGUCUGAUAGUUUAUAUAUCAAUGAUGAAAUAUUAACAUUGCAACAAAUGCCAAUACGGCCGGUUUAGUUUACUAAAUUGCAAUUUUAAAUUUUCCGCGGAGUUUCUUGUUGAAAACGUCGCGGAAUGAUGACGCGUGCGCAUGACGUCACGGACUGUAGAGGACAUAUUAGCGCAGCACCAUUUGCGGCUAAAAGUCAUCUCUUUUCAUUGCGCAAUUAAACAGUAUUCUGGACAUCUGUGUUGCUGAAUCUUUUGCAAUUUGUUCAAUUAAUAAUGGAGAAGUCAAAGUAGAAAGAUGGAGUUGGGAAGCUUUAGCCUUUAGCCACACAAACACACGGUGAUUCCUUGUUUAAAAUUCCCAGAGGAGAAGCUUUACUAUGGAUCAGAGUGGUCAAGCGAACAUGGUUCCCGACCACUUGUCAACCGGCAGGUUUCGGUGAGAAAAUUGGGGUAAAAAGUCGUCUCUUACCAGAGAUCAGCUGAGUUUGCGCCGUCCAUGCAGCUGCCGCCAACUUCCCUCAGAGACUGGCCUCAAUACACCCGUGGACACACCCGUCCGACUAUCAGGUAGUAUUUAAUCUCACUAAAACACUAGCAACACAAUAGAUAGAUAAGGGAUUUCCCAGAAUUAUCCUAAUAAAUGUGUCUAAAAACAUCCGAAUCCGUCCCAAUGCAAUCGCCUUUUUUUAACUUCAUUUUUGUUUUUAUUUUAUUUUUCUAGUCCUUCGCUAUCAAUAUCAUCAUCCACGAAUCUUUCAUCCACGCUCAAAUUAAUGGGGAAAUUGUCGUUUUCUCGGUCAGAAUAGCUCUUGCUGCUGGAGGCUCCGAUUAUAAACAAUGUAAGGACGUGAGGAGCCCUCAACCUUGUGACGUCAUCAUCUGCGACUUCCGGUAAAGGCAAGGCACCAAAAGUUGCAAACAUUAUCGUCGAUGUUCUCUACUAAAUCCUUUCAGCAAAAAUAUGGCAAUAUCGCAAAAUGAUCAAGUAUAACACAUAGAAUGGACCUGCUAUCCCCGUUUAAAUAAGAAAAUCUCAUUUCAGUAGGCCUUUAAAUUACAUAGCUAUAUUAAUGUGAUGUCUUGUCGUCUGUUACAUUGUGUUUCUUGCAUAUCUCUUGCAUUAAUACACAUUGAAUACUGUUUUCCUGUUUGUCUAUUUCAAUCAAUCAUACAAAGGUUAUUUUUAUAGCCCUUAAUCACAAGUGUCUCAAAGGGCUGCACAAGCCAAAACGACAUCCUUUUGAUCUUAUGAACAUUUAACUAUUCAGGUAGAUAAAGUUUACCUUCUCUGACAACUUUCCUUGUGCUAAUGCUGCUCAUGUGUGACCUCCAAACUACCUCAAGCACACCUGCCAUUAAUCAGUCCAUGCAAACAGAUGGCUGCACUGAAAAUAGGGGGUGCCACAGCUGUCUGUUAUAACAAAUACAUCCUGUGCAAAGGCGAAGAUCCAUUAAAACUCUCGCUGGCAUGCUUCAUUGAAAGCUAUUGAAUGGCAAUUACUUUCGACGUACUAUUGCUCAAACACGGAUGCAUACAUGCAUGAGGUUUUGUCAUCCACACGGUAGCUCUCUGCUGAGCAUCCGGUGGCAGAUGGCGGAUCAGCGGUAAAGCAAAGGGUCCGAUGCCAAAAACCUGCUGGGUUCACUCCGGAACGUCACAAACGGUUGGUCUCAGCAUCCUUGCGCACAGCAGAGGCCUGUGUUAGCACUUUGGAAAUGUGUGUCUGGGCUACAAAAUAAAACUGAUAUUUAAAGCAAACACUAACAAAAUUGCCAACUAUAAUAUGAUCACAUCCACAUGUUGUAUAUGUAUUUAUUUUUGAAUAGUGUAAACUUCUUGCAUAAUGUUGUUGUUGGCCGUGGUACAAAAAAUGGGUAUGAACUUUGCGCAUUAUUCUCCCGUUUGUGAUAAAGUCUAUUUUACACACUUGAUUCUAAAACUAUGUUGAAACUAUCCAUCCAUCCAUCCAUUGUUUUUCUUUUUUUUUUCUUGACAUCCAGCAUCAGACAUUUCCAUCCACUAAAUCAUAUUCACAUACAUCACACAGCCGUUGUCUGCCCUAAAUGUCAAAAGUAUUUUUGUUUGUAUAACCAUGAUACCACCCCCCCCCCCAAAAAAAGAAAAAGAAACAGAGAUAAAAAACAAGGUAGUAUCUACACAUACAUCAAUUAAAUCAGCAAAAAAUAGAUAAUACAUUGAUAAUUAUAAUAAACAGAAAUAAAACAAAAUAAAUAUAUACAUCCAUCCAUUUUCUACCGCUUAUUCCCUUUGGGUUUGCGGUGGGCACUGGUGCCUAUAUUAGCUACAAUCGGGCGGAAGGCGGUGUACACCCUGGACAAGCCGCCACCUCAUCGCAGGGCAUGUUGAAACUAUGUUCCUCUUAUUCGUAUGCUUCCAUCCAGCCUGCAGAGACACGCCCACACCUUAAGUUAGACAAAAUUGCUUCUUAAAGGCCUACUGAAACCCACUACUACCGACCACGCAUUCUGAUAGUUUAUACAUCAAUGAUGAAAUAUUAACAUUGCAACAUAUGCCAAUAUGGCCAGUUUAGUUUACUAAAUUGCAAUUUUAAAUUUCCAGCGGAGUUUCCUGUUGAAAACGUCUCAGAAUGAUGACACACAUGCUGAUGCGUGUUUGUGACGUUAUUGGUUGGAGGGGACGUAUUAGCCCAGCACCACUUGCGGCUAAAAGUCGUCUCUUUUCAUCACCCAAUUACACAGUAUUUUGGACAUCUGUGUUGCUAAAUCUUUUGCAAUUUGUUCAAUUAAUAACGGAGAAGUCAAAGUAGAAAGAUGGAGGUCGAAAGCUUUUACCCUUUAGCCACACAAAAACACGGUGUUUCCUUGUUUAAAAUUCCCGGAGGUGAAGCUUUACUAUGGAUCAGAGCGGUCAAGCGAACAUGGAUCCCGACUACAUGUCAACCGGCAGUUUUCGGUGAGAAAAUUGUGGUCUUACCGGAGACACCAGCGGGCCUUCGUCCUGCUGCAGCGCGUGACUUCCCUGAGAGACUCUGGCGUCAACACACCCGUGGCCACACCCCUUCCACUUUAGGUACUGUAUAAUCUCACUAAAACAAUAGGCAGAUAAAGGAUUUUCCAGAAUGAUCCUAGGAAAUGUGUCUAAUAACAUCUGAAUCGAUCGCACUGCAAUCGCCUUUUUUUUAAUUUGUACUUUUUUAACUUUUUUUAUUUUCCCCCACAGACCGACUAUCGCGAGCGAGCUUAUAUGUAGAUAAGAAUACAUAUUUCAACACUCAAAUACAGUAUAAAUACGUCUGUUAAGAAUCCAGAACCAUACUGAAUGUUUCUUCUGCCAAGAAAGUAUAUUGUGUGUCUAUUUAUUCUAAAUAUUUUUUUUAAAUAAAACUUGGUUAAAAUAUAUCAGUGUUUGAAGUACUUUUUGAGCACAUUCAACAAUGUUGUGAUAAUAAUGGUAAGUGGUGAUGAUUUUGUUCAAAAUAAUUGAGACAUUUAAUUUUCAUAACGUUACAGCCCUAGUACAGUAGACCCUAAAGAAUGAGUUAGAAAUCCAUUGAGCUGUGUGAGAAAUUACAAGUCAAUCGGAAUUAUGGGCUCAAACAUCGCCACCAUGUUGUUUAUGUUUUAUUUGACAGGAUGUGUGUCCCCCAAAGUAUCCCACAGCAAUGAAACUAUCUGAAUGUCUUGCCAGUUGUUCAGACUUGACCAGUAUUAUUUUGUUGAACAGUCCAAGGUUGGGUCUUCUGGAAGAUUUCACAAGUAUUUAUUCAAAACAGCUCACAGGUAAAUGUUACAGCGUUGGUGUCACUCCAUCAAGAGCAUUGCUGAUUUCGAACAUAAACAUUAACGAAUGGCCUCCUCUCAAGCAAGCGCCUGCAAAAGUGAACCGCGAUGAAGAGUUCUUCACUCUCUUUGUAGCAAAACAGCUGAUAUGUCCAAUGGGUCAACAAUUCCAUGAUCAACAAGUGUUCAAGAGUGUUGGGGCCAGCCCAAGGAAAAGAAGUGAUAAUGAGGGAGAUGCUUGAGUGGUUUCAUCCAUGGGAAUUUUUCUUUUUAUCAAAAGCAUGUGUAGCUAAUAAAAAAUAUUAUUAUAUAUUAUUAAUACGUGAUAUCUAAUAUCAAACCUUUGAUCAAUUCUUUAGUUACUGAAGAUAGUUCAAACUUGGGGCUACACAUUUGGAGUCAUUAUUCUUUGAUGUGAUUUGACGUAUCAAAGCACGUGUCAACGUCCCGAAAGCAACAUAUAGUAGAUAGGCAGCCCUGAAUGUCGAAGAUGCAGCUGCAUGUGUGUGUGCUUAAUCAGAUUAAUUUCAAAUCAGUUGUGUGCAUUUAGGUGUAUAUUUAGGUGCGACUUAUCCAUGGUGUAACCUGCCUUCCGCCUGAGUGCAGCUGGGAUAGGCUCCAGCUCCCUUGCGACACAGAGAGGGACAAGCGGCACAAAAUUGAUGGAUAGAUGGAUGGAUAGAUUUGUUUUAAUAUCCUAACACUAUGAGAUGUUUCAAGAUGGGGCCGCUUGAGUGGCUGCUUCUUGCAGGAUAUGCUCUUGUAUUCUUAAUGUUUCCUUCCUCUUUUUGUGUGUUUUUCCCCGUUUGCAUUGGGCUCUUUUGGGACUGCGCAACAAGGGGGUUGCUUUUUUGUAAACUUUGGGAUCUGCUUCAGGAAGCCAUAGCCAUGUCUGCACCGGAGACCAGCUGCUCGCUCUCUGCCACACCAUGGAAAGACCUAAGAAGAUGCGGAGGAAGAGACCGGGCAUCGGCUUUGUUGUCUGCGCGUGUUGGAUAUAUCUUCGUCAGACCAAAGAGGCAAGGCGAGAAGGCAGUCCGUGGGCAGGAAAGCGGUCGGGGGCUGGAGAGAAGCAUCAAUGUCUGUGUCCAAGCAGGGGUGGAGGAUCGGGGAAGGCAGUCCGGAAUCCAGAGGGAGGUCGAGAUACACAACUCGAUCAAGAGAUACGGGGAAUGUACUGCGGGAGACACAAUGGACAUAAACACAGGAACAGGGAAGGGCAAAGAAAAAGAGAGCAAGUACGAGGAAGGGAAGCCAGAGACAGGGUGCCUACUGCGAGAGUGAACUACGUUCCGGCAGAGGAUCUUCAGGUACACUGGUCUUUAUGCUACCUUCCCUCAUUAGGACCAGGUGAGCUGGUUAGUGAUUGCCUGCAGCUUUGCCGGAGCGUGGCUGUGAUGCAAUCAGAGCAAGCAGGGGUGGGUCCUGGCGUGCUGCCAGCGGAGAUUGUGCCCGC